CAAUAGUAGUCGGAGUGGGAGGCGACAUUCAGCUCCAUUCACUCGCAGUUCUGUGCGAGAGAAGGAAACACAAAAGCGCCAGUAUGUACGGAGUUGUAGGAGUACGGAUAACAAAAACACCGAGGAUUCUACCUGACCUGUUGGUAUUGUUGUUGCUGUUAUUGUUAUUGUCGUAAAGGUUCAUGAGGUGAAGCGAGUCAGACAAAAGGAAGUAGAAGACAGCGUAGGGGAUAAUACCAGGAAUAAUAACAACAGGUGUCUUGAUCUACAAUCAUUAGCAGCAAGUCCAGGUGGUGAUCAGCUGGACGGAACAAACAGUUCUUCUCCAGUUACCAGCAACCAACCAGCACCACCACCAUCCACAGCAACAGCAGCAGCAGCAACAGCGGCUGUUCCUCAACCAAUUGCACACACCUGCUCUGUGAACACGUUGGAUAAUUCUAGCAUCACAGUGUCGAGUACCUUGCACCAAACCACUAACUCUGCUUCGACACAGCUUACACCAAAUGGUACCACAGAUGGUGUUCUUGGUGCCCUCUCAUCAUC
rnacentral:lncRNA from 1 species